CUUUUUAUUAGAUGCAAUAUACAUAAUGAUCUGGUGCUGUUUCCAGGUGUCUUCAGCAUUUUCUCAUCUGAUGAUUUUUUCUACCCUUUUCAGUUACUAUAAAGUGUUACAAAUUAAAUUUAGACGCAACACAUAAAUAGUAAUUGGAAAGGUACUGCCAUUGCAUGUGUAAUGCAGAAACUAAUUUAAAAUCGAUGUGUACAAUCGUGAAAUUAUGAGGUCGUCAAGAAAUGAACUUUGUGAUAAUCUACUCGUUCCCCAAACCUGAAAUAGUUUUAUCGUCACGUCACGUCUGCUUUCAAAAUACCUUUUAAAUGAAUGUGACCGUCUUUCGCCUGAAAUGUAUGCCAUACUGACAUUUUCAGCAUGUUGAAGAUAACUAAAUGACAACUGCGUCUUCAAAACAACUGUUUACUCUCAAUUUGUGUUUAUCGUGACUUUCGAUGUAAAACCUAGAGACGUUCCGAAAUCCUGCACUUGUGUCAACUCGGCCAAUAUAGAAUAACUCGGCCAAUACAGAAAAAAUCUGUAUUGGCCUAGUUAUUCUGUAUUGGCCCAAUCUACACAUUAUAUUGCAUAGGCAGUUUUCAUCAUAUUAAGUCCAAUAACAGUGCAGUUAAUUAAUAAUAGAAUUUA
rnacentral:lncRNA from 1 species